GACGUAGGGGACGAGCGUUGUCCGGAAUUAUUGGGCGUAAAGAGCGCGUAGGCGGUCCGAUAAGUCGGCUGUGAAAGUCCAGGGCUCAACCCUGGAAAGCCGGCCGAUACUGUCGGACUAGAGUCCGGAAGAGGCAAGUGGAAUUCCCGGUGUAGCGGUGAAAUGCGCAGAUAUCGGGAGGAACACCAAUUGCGAAGGCAGCUUGCUGGGACGGUACUGACGCUGAGGCGCGAAAGCGUGGGGAGCAAACAGG
rnacentral:rRNA from 1 species